GUUUGGAGUUACGUUGGACUCAUUUAUUGAAGCUCCUUUAGUCUUUCUUCUUUCCUUCCUAUUUUAUAGAAAAGAAGAAGACGUAUUGUUAAAAAAAAAAAAAAAAAAAAAAAGACAACGAGAUCUAAUAGCAAGUUAGCAACCACUUAUUUUGUUCUCUUUUCUUUUUCAAUUGCUUCUGUGAACAUUUUAAUUAUCCAACUUUGUUCUCUCUCUUUCUUUCUUUUUUUUCAAAGAAAAUUAAUUAGUCAUUAUCUCUCGCUUUAUAACAUUCUCGGAAUGCCCCUUGUUGUUCUCCACUUGUGGGAUUACGUACACUGGGUAUGUUGUUGUUUGUUAUUGCUGUCAUUUGAUACUGUAAUCACCGUAAGAGUUUUCUAGCAAUGAAAUUUAUCAAGAAUAACUUGCGAAAUCAAAUGGACCAUAAAUUUUUAGGCGGGUGUGCAGUGAUGAUGUUAAAAAAUUCAUUGCACUCAUUCAUCGGAAAAUAAUUAUAUAGUCGUCAACAUUUGAACAACCUUACCAAAAUAUCUGGCUCCGCCACUGAUCUUUGGAUUUUGGGUAUUACGAGGGCUUCCUAUGUAAACUUUUGCUUCUGGAGAUUUCUUUAUUUCCAAGUUCAUUGUUUUACUGUGGCGUGGGUGUUGUUGGCUUUGAAACUUGCUCUCUAUCAAGUCUUGGUUCUCUUCUCAACAAUUGUGAGCAAAACUAAUCUCGCACAUUUGCCCUUCUAAUUUCAACUGAUCUUCUUAGAUUUGUUAAAUUAUUUUUGUGAAACGUUUCAAUUAUUUGUUGUUAUCGGGUUGAAUAAUUCGCUAUGUCCUUUUGUACUCUAAUUAUUUAUAGCUUAGUAGUACAGACAUUGGAGGAGUGCAGAAUGAGGGCCUACAGAGGUCACGCUUGAAACUUUCAACAACUCAUUUAUACUUGAGGUACUAUAUUCUUCAAUUAUGAUUUGUUUUUGUUGUCGUAUAGUUGGGUUUUAGGUAAUGAGGGAAAAAUUAAAAUUCGUACUUUAAAAGUAGAUAUAUUACCAGCAUGAUUGGAGAGGCCCUACAGAGAUGCGGCCCAGGGUAGAACAAGGGUCUGUAACGGUCAAUCUUGAAACUCCAUUGGUUCAUUUAAACUUUAGGUAUGUAUUCUUCUGUAUUUUAUUUUAGUUAUUUCACAUUUUCCUUUUCUGGGUAACGAGGGAAAAAUGAUAUUCGUAAUUUUAUAGUAGAUGUAACAAGUAUGAGCUAAUAACUUACCGAGAUUUCAUAGAGCUUGCUUCGAGAAGGUAUUAUGAUAAUGUCAUCAGGGAUUUUUUCCCCUUAUCCAUUUACGUUGUUAAUUUUAGAUGACUUGGGAUCUUAAUUUAUCCCUUUUUCUUAUUUAUUUUUUCGGUUGGAUUUUAUUGUUCACAUUGGAGGUCCAACUUGUACUAGAAGAGCUUUAGAAUCUUUUUAUGGUAUUUAGAGGCCUAAAUGACUUUGUAACCACCUUUAUAGCACAAGUUAAGAAUGACAAUGAAAAUAGACACCUUGUUACUGAUUUCCUUAGCAAUUCAUGACCUUUCAGAUGACUUAGCUAGACUGUGUUAAAUUUUUAUUUUGAAUUUUCCUUUUGUUGUAGUUCUUCAAUGAAAGACAUAAGAGCUGCCGGGAACAAGUAGUUGCUAAAGAUUUGAACCCCAUAAAACUCUGUUGGGGAUGUCUCCGUCUCUGCCUUUUGUUUCUCCUACUUCUCCUUUUUUGAUACAAAAUAUAUGCCACUUAACACAGAUUGGAGUUACAGCAAUCUACAUACCUGCAACUAAAGAUAUGCUUUGAACAACAAACAAAUAAGACACUUUUACAUAGGUUGCUUUGUGUAAUGCUUUUUGUAGAGUUUAGAUUCUUAAUCAGAAUGCUUCUUAUUGUAAAUUUGUAGUUCUCGCUAAAUAAAUAAACUGGUUCGGUGUUUUACAAUUUCUGAUUUACAUGCAUACGAUGCACUGACUUAAGUAUUGACAACUCUCAUAUACACUUCUUUCAUUAAGCUGACUCUUGAUGCCUCGAGCAUAUCUCAACCUUCAAAAGUUUGAUUGUAUCUAAUCGUGAUACUUUUUUGUUUUGAGUAAAAGACACAUAGGAAAAUGACAUGUUGAUGUUCAAAUGUUCACAAUCUGUGAGUUGGUUAAUUUUAUUUUAGAUAUUUUUUGACAUUUUCAUUUGAUGCAACAUUUAUAGAGUUUUUAUUCGGAAGCUCUCUGAGCUUGGAUUACGAUCUUUGAUUUAUGUUAGAAUCUUAUAUUUCUACUAUUUAUCCUUGCAUUCGUUAGAUAUAUAUUUGCAAACGAAAUCAUUAAUGCGGAUAUUAUUAGCUUCUUUCAGAAAUUUUCUAAAACUUUAUACUGUUAAGGUCUUUUCCCUUCAAUUUCUCCCUUCUCUUUUUAGUAUUUUUGUUGGUUCUUUAUUGUAAUGUUCUCUUGAUUUUAAAUUUAUUUUUAUGGUGUGGAUAGUGGGAUCAAUCUCUCAUCUCUACUAUUUAUCCCUUUCAAAGUGUGCAGAAGAUAUCAAUGGAGUAGAAUGCCACAACUCAACAAAGAAUUUAGCAAUUUGAUCCUAAAUGUUUUGAGUAUCAUCUGGAUUAUGCAAAUCCUUUGGCUCUCUGUUGUAUCUUCAUUUUCCAGUGGCUUUCGCCGUUGAUUGUAUUUCUUCUUCUCGUGUGUUAGUACUAUAGCUAAUGACAGGAAAAUGUAGGAACUUUCUUUCUUUUAAUAAAGUUUUUGAUGUUAAGUCUAUCAGUUUGAUGUUGUAGACCUGCAAAAAAUAGGAAGCAUGCUAUCUUGACAUCCUAAUACUACUGAUUGAUCUUUCGAGUUCUUCUUUAUGAGUAGUCCUUUUACUGUAUAACUUUACAUGGAUGUUUACAUACUUUACCCUUUUUGCUGGUGGAAUAGCAUAGGCCUCGAAGAAUAUUAUAAACUCCUUUCCAUGAUAGAUACAACAAUGCACCAUGAGAUUCAGUAUGUUCCAUGUCUUUGCCCAAAUGAUAUUAUCGUUCCUAUUGGUAAUACAUUUGAGACUACAUAGAUGAAGUAUCACUUACUGUAAUUGUUUUGUUAAUGAGUAUAAUUUUCUCAUUGAGUACUCACACAUUUAAAAUUUAGUGUUUACGUUUAAAAGAGUGACGAGGGUUGCAAUAAGUGGAAUUUUUUUUUGAAGAACUGAGUCGUCAAGUUGUCCUCCUGUUUAUGUGGUGCUUGAGAAUGUAUUUUUAAUGUCAUUCUGCCUUCUUAGAAAUUACAGUUUGGCUGCAGACUUUGUGAAUGGUGGACAAGAGUAAUACUUACUUACUUAGCAAGUAUACCAAGAACUCUAUGAGAAGGUAUUGUAUUUAGCAAAAUGCAUCAUCUAAUGUCAUAUCAAGUCUUUAAUGCUUCCAGACUUUCAAUGUAGGUGCCAUCACGACGGGUUGGGUCGUGACACUGGAAAUGGUAGAAGAAUCCAUUGAGGUAGUUCAGGAGAGGGUACAGAGGUAUGAAGGAUAGGAUCUGAUCAACCUUGGAGCCUACAGAACUUAUGCCAGGGUACUUUAAAUCCCAACCAAGCUUGAGGGAAAUAAUCUAGCUUUUCAGUGCAAUUCUUUCACGAGGAGUUCAGGCGGUACAAAUAGCACUGGGAGUAUUACUCGUAAAUUACAUUAAUUUUAGAGUUUAUAGGAUUAAAUAUGGUGUGUGGCCUCUUUAUAUCUGGCAAGUAUAUUAGUUGUCUGUUGCAGGCGUUUGCUCGCUUUUCAUUUCUUGUCGUUGCAUAUGUUGGUCUCGUGUUUUAAAACGCUGGUGAUGUUCUGUCAUAGAAUGAUGUUUUGCAAGAAGAAAUCAUGUUUUGAUAUCUUAUGUAUGCCUUUUUGUUAUGUUAAAGCUUGUGUAUU